rnacentral:rRNA from 1 species
GACGGAGGAUGCAAGUGUUGUCCGGAAUCACUGGGCGUAAAGCGUCUGUAGGUGGUCAAAUAAGUCAACUGUUAAAUCUUGAGGCUCAACCUCGAAAUCGCAGUCGAAACUAUUAGACUAGAGUAUAGUAGGGGUAAAGGGAAUUUCCAGUGGAGCGGUGAAAUGCGUAGAGAUUGGAAAGAACACCGAUGGCGAAGGCACUUUACUGGGCUAUUACUAACACUCAGAGACGAAAGCUAGGGUAGCAAAUGGG